GGCCCCAUCAUGUUGAAACAUCAGUUCCCAUAGGUUCAUUGAAGUUAAGCAAUGUAGAACCUGGUUGAUACCUAGAUAGGUGACCAUUUGGGAAUACCAGGUGCUGUAA